rfam:Cavia porcellus supercont2_12 genomic scaffold, whole genome shotgun sequence.
GGAUGUUAGGGUGAACUGACUGCAACUCUGGCACCUCACUGAGUGUCAGGGUUGAGUUGGCUCAUCUGGCUGGCUAGGCGGGUGUUUCCUUCCUCCACUCCAUUGUGUCCCUCCUGAAGUGCAGAAAACCACCCUGUACAGAGCAGGAACAUUCCCUUGGUCAAAUAUAUAUGAGUAGCUGUGCUUCCCAUCUAGAAUCUCCAAACAAGCCCUCAAAAGACCUUAAAAAACAUAACAAAUGUGUGUAGUAUUUUGGAGCAAAAUAUAAGGAAAUUUAGGGUAGGGGGAUUCAGCUGUUACCACUGUAUGCAU